rnacentral:lncRNA from 1 species
GUUAUGUUUUAUCAUCAAAUACAACUUUCAUUUCAAUAUUAUGAAUGAACACGAAUGCGGCCACUUUCAUUUAAGACGGAAACCGUCUAAAAUUUAACUAAAAUACUAAAAUUGUGAAGAUUUCAGUAAUUUAGCAUGACUUAAUGAUGCUAGUACUCGAUAUAUGUGCAUUGUAUUGUCAAAAACAGCCCAUAUUCAUGUAGCAGAAGCAUUCUACCUUCCAGUUAAUAGCAAAAAGAUUACAUUUUCACAAUUUUUCAAAAC